ACAAACACACACGCCGGCUGAAGUGUUUCUGGGGCGACGAGCACCGACCUUCAUCAUCACUAUACUCACUUUCAGAAGGACAUGAUGUGACGAGUCCGCUUCACAUGCUCGCAAACAUCUUCGGGUUCAGCGUUUGGAAAAACUACCAUCGGCGAGACGUGGGAUAGGGGAGGAGCGGACCAUACCAAGCUGGCGUCCUAGCAUGGAGAGGGGUGACUGCUGCCUCCAGAAAUGGCACUAAUGGCAAAGAUGGUGUAAAGGUGACCUGGCACUGAAGGAAUGGCCUUUCCAUGCACCAGGAGUGUGAAGAUGCUGUGUGUGACUUCAGGGCACAUGUUGGUGCUGAGCACGAUCUCAUUUAAUAUAGUACAGUACUUAAAAGAACAUUUUCUUCCCUCUCUGUUGAGCUGAAGAACAAGGUCACAUCACGAACAGUCACUACAAUAUCAUUUUUUUAUUGUUAACUACUAGUUUUACUGAGAAAUAUCACAAUAUUAUAGAUGUAGGGCAUAUUUUACGUCACUGUAAGGAAAGACUAUUUUUAUUUUACAUCUGAUUACCUGAGUGUCAUUGUAAUUACAAUAGAACAUCCAGCACACUUUAAAUCCUUAAGCAGAUUGUGUAGGAAUGAUAUAAACUUUUUCACGA